rnacentral:rRNA from 1 species
GACGAACGCUGGCGGCGUGCUUAACACAUGCAAGUCGAACGGUAAGGCCUUUCGGGGUCAUACUAGUGGCGAACGGGUGAGUAACACGUGAGCAACCUGCCCUUGACUUCGGAAUACCAGCUGGAAACAGCUGCUAAUACCGGAUAUGACCCUGGUCCUCCUGGGCUGGGGUGGAAAGCUCCGGCGGUCAGGGGUGGGCUCGCGGCCUCUCAGCUUGUUGGGGAGGUAAUGGCUCACCAAGGCUUCGACGGGUAGACGGCCUGAGUGGGCGACCGGCCACACUGGGACUGAGAUACGGCCCAGAUUCCUACGGGAGGCAGCAGUGGGGAAUAUUGAACAAUGGGCGCAAGCCGGAUGCAGCAAGGCCGCGUGCGGGAUGACGGCCUUCGGGUUGUAAAACGCUUUCAGUAGGGACGAAGCCAGAAGUGACGGUACCUACAGAAGAAGGACCGGCUAACUACGUG